GGUGAAACCCGAGCGCCCCACCCCGCGCCCGACCUCCCUGGGCCCCUCCCACUUCCCCAGACGCGCCCCCCUCGGCGCCCAGGGCGUCCCCCUGCACCCCAAGAGCCCCACUCCUGCGUCCCUAGUGCGAGUGCGCCCGAGUAUUGACUUUCAGGGACUCCCUUCCCUCGCCUCCCGGGGACCUUCUGUGGCUCCCCCGCCCCCCGUCCCGCCGCUCAGACGUGGCUGCUGGAGGGGCGGGGGCGCGGUAUAAAGGACCAGAGGCAGCGGGGGCCGGGAUCCGAGACGUGGCGCGCCCACUCUGCCGGCCUCGGCUCCAGCCACAUCACUAAACUGCCACCCCAGAUGAGAGGAGCAAGGAGGGCACCAACAAGAACAUCACCUGGAAGAGAGGAAGAUGGUGCUGGGGGUCAGGAGUGACCUUAAAGGGAGACCUUGACUUCUGUGAUCUUUACAAUGUGAUGAAAUUGUGUUUGGAACACCCGUGAUGAUGUCUACAGGUGAUGCUGUGGUCCUCCCCAAAUUCUGACAGAUGAAGAAUCGCCAAGUCGGGAGAGUUCAGGGAGUCAUCAGCCCCUAACGAAGUCCUUGAGCUUCACCAGAAACUCUUUAGGGUUCUUUCCCCCUCAAGAAACACUCACUCCCCGUUUAGCGUUUAGUAGCAGCUGGCAGAGGUGAAAACCACCUUUGCCUACCUCGCAGCCAUGUUCCAUGGCUCCAUGUUCCAGGGAGCAGCUGCUUAAAGUCUACCCACUAGGAGCCACAGCGGGAACUCCAGGAGACAACCAGAGCAUGUAUUCAACAAAAAGUUCUCACUUACUUUUUCUUAGAAAAGUUUAGUAAUUCAUCUCACUUUCAGUAACGGCCUAUUAAUAAAAGACGUUGUAUUUUACUCAAGCUGUGUUCCA
rnacentral:lncRNA from 1 species